rnacentral:rRNA from 1 species
AAUGGACGGAAGUCUGAUGGAGCAACGCCGCGUGAGUGAAGAAGGAUUUCGGUUCGUAAAACUCUGUUGCAAGGGAAGAACAAGUAGCGUAGUAACUGGCGCUACCUUGACGGUACCUUGUUAGAAAGCCACGGCUAACUACGUGCCAGCAGCCGCGGUAAUACGUAGGUGGCAAGCGUUGUCCGGAAUUAUUGGGCGUAAAGCGCGCGCAGGUGGUUCCUUAAGUCUGAUGUGAAAGCCCCCGGCUCAACCGGGGAGGGUCAUUGGAAACUGGGGAACUUGAGUGCAGAAGAGGAUAGUGGAAUUCCAAGUGUAGCGGUGAAAUGCGUAGAGAUUUGGAGGAACACCAGUGGCGAAGGCGACUGUCUGGUCUGUAACUGACACUGAGGCGCGAAAGCGUGGGGAGCAAACAGGAUUAGAUACCCUGGUAGUCCACGCCGUAAACGAUGAGUGCUAAGUGUUGGGGGGUUUCCGCCCCUCAGUGCUGCAGCUAACGCAUUAAGCACUCCGCCUGGGGAG